UACGGGGGGGGCAAGCGUUGUUCGGAAUUACUGGGCGUAAAGGGCUCGUAGGUGGCCAACUAAGUCAGACGUGAAAUCCCUCGGCUUAACCGGGGAACUGCGUCUGAUACUGGAUGGCUUGAGAUUGGGAGAGGGAUGCGGAAUUCCAGGUGUAGCGGUGAAAUGCGUAGAUAUCUGGAGGAACACCGGUGGCGAAGGCGGCAUCCUGGACCGGUAUUGACGCUGAGGCGCGAAAGCCAGGGGAGCGAACGGG
rnacentral:rRNA from 1 species